rnacentral:rRNA from 1 species
GAUGAACGCUGGCGGCGUGCCUAAUACAUGCAAGUCGAGCGAACGGACGAGAAGCUUGCUUCUCUGAUGUUAGCGGCGGACGGGUGAGUAACACGUGGAUAACCUACCUAUAAGACUGGGAUAACUUCGGGAAACCGGAGCUAAUACCGGAUAAUAUUUUGAACCGCAUGGUUCAAAAGUGAAAGACGGUCUUGCUGUCACUUAUAGAUGGAUCCGCGCUGCAUUAGCUAGUUGGUAAGGUAACGGCUUACCAAGGCAACGAUGCAUAGCCGACCUGAGAGGGGGAUAGGCCACAUUGGAAGGGGGACACGGUCCAGACGCCUACGGGAGGCAGCAGUAGGGAAUCUUCCGCAACGGGCGAAAGCCUGACGGAGCAACGCCGCGUGAGUGAUGAAGGUCUUCGGAUCGUAAAACUCUGUUAUUAGGGAAGAACAUAUGUGUAAGUAACUGUGCACAUCUUGACGGUACCUAAUCAGAAAGCCACGGCUAACUACGUG